rnacentral:rRNA from 1 species
UGAGUAAUGUGCCCUGGACUCUGGGAUAGCCACCGGAAACGGUGAUUAAUACCGGAUAUGACCACUCUAGGCAUCUAGUGGUGGUGGAAAGUUUUUCGGUCCAGGAUGUGCUCGCGGCCUAUCAGCUUGUUGGUGAGGUAAUGGCUCACCAAGGCUUUGACGGGUAGCCGGCCUGAGAGGGUGACCGGUCACACUGGGACUGAGACACGGCCCAGACUCCUACGGGAGGCAGCAGUGGGGAAUAUUGGACAAUGGGCGGAAGCCUGAUCCAGCAACGCCGCGUGAGGGAUGACGGCCUUCGGGUUGUAAACCUCUUUCAGUACCGACGAAGCGAAAGUAACGGUAGGUACAGAAGAAGGACCGGCCAACUACGUGCCAGCAGCCGCGGUAAUACGUAGGGUCCGAGCGUUGUCCGGAAUUAUUGGGCGUAAAGGGCUCGUAGGCGGUUUGUCGCGUCGGGAGUGAAAACAGCGGGCUUAACUCGUUGCUUGCUUUCGAUACGGGCAGACUAGAGGUAUGCAGGGGAGAAUGGAAUUCCUGGUGUAGCGGUGAAAUGCGCAGAUAUCAGGAGGAACACCGGUGGCGAAGGCGGUUCUCUGGGCAUUACCUGACGCUGAGGAGCGAAAGUGUGGGGAGCGAACAGGAUUAGAUACCCUGGUAGUCCACACCGUAAACGUUGGGCGCUAG